AAACAUGUCCUAAUGUUAUAUUUUAUUUUAGGUCUAACCUGCUCAAUGAUUUAUUAAUUAAAUUAAAUAGCCGCAGUAUUUUGACUGUGCGAAGGUAGCAUAAUCAUUUGUCUUUUAAUUGAAGGCUUGUAUGAAUGGUUGGAUGAGGGAAUGACUUUCUUUAUAUUAUAUAUUGAAUUUAAUUUUUAGGUUAAAAAGCUUAAAUUUAUAAGUGGGACGAGAAGACCCUAUAGAAUUUUAUUGGUUUUAUUAUAUUGAAAUUUUUGGAUAUAAUGUUUUUUUAUAUUAAAGAUAAUUUUGUUGGGGUGACAGUGAGAUUUUUUUAACUCUCAUAAUUUAUUAUUAUUACUUAUUUGUAUGUUAAAGAUCCUAUUUUAUGGAUAUUUAGAUUAAAUUACCUUAGGGAUAACAGCGUAAUUUUUCUGGAGAGUUCUUAUCGAUAGAAGAGUUUGCGACCUCGAUGUUGGAUUAAAAUUAGAUUUAAGUGCAGAAGCUAA
rnacentral:rRNA from 1 species